UUUUUUAAUUUGUGCAGAAACAAUUAUUUUAAUUAAGGACAAGAAGACCCUAAGAAUUUUUGAAUUUAAAUAAUAUAUUUAUGUAUUAAUUAAAUUUUAGCUGGGGCGGCUAAGAAAUAUUAAAAACUUUUUAAUUUAAAGCGACCCAUUAUUAAUGAUUAUAUGAAAAAAUACUCUAGGGAUAACAGCGUUAUAUUUUUUGAUAGACCAUAUUGACAAAAAAGUUUGCGACCUCGAUGUUGGAUUAGGAUACUUUUUUAAUGAAGAUAUUAAAAAAAGAA
rnacentral:rRNA from 1 species